UCAACAGUCUCCUACAAUGGCUUAGGACUUUGCUUUGCUUAGACAGUUUUGCAUUAAGGACCCAUCACUGCACAGUACACCUCAACAAUGAUUCAACUAUAAUGAAUGAACAUUUGGUGUCACCAAGAUGAGGUUCUCUUUAGAGUCAGGUUAUAAAAUUGAAAUGUAUAUGUUAGUAUCUAUGAGUUUAGAGCUAUAAGUUUAGAUACUAACAUAUACAUUCCAAUUUUAUAACCUCAUCAUCUCUGUUAAGCUACUUUGGCACAAUGUCCAUUGGUAAAAUCGCUAUACAAAUUGAAUUGAUAGCUGUAAUAUAUUGUUUACUGGUAUAUAAUUAUGAUCAUCUAAAAGCUUUUCCUUUAGUUCAGUGCGAUAACAAUCCUGCUUUAAGUGAAUGGUUUUUAUUUUCCACAGCUAACUAACUUGUGUGUUUGACUCACUAUCUGUGCACCCGAGACAUCACUUCAGAGUGAACUACAGUGUGAUUACACAUAACAAACAUUUUAUAAUUCUGUGUAAUUAUUUGGGAACAUGAAAAAUAUGUAAAUCCAAAAGCUGUUUUUGGAGCCGAAUGAGUCGGCCUUUGUUCGUGAGCUGAAACAUUAGCCCUGAAUCACUCAACUGCACAUGGUGUUGAAAUCACAUGACCAGAACACGUUACCUUAACAACCUAACUGAAAGCUUCCAUAGUUACCUUGUAAAACCCUCGACGGCUAAAUGACCUGAAGCAUAAAAAUGUUUUUGUAUCGUAAGAAGCUCAGUAUUGUUGAAAUGGCUGCUUAAACCGAACAGUCUUUAGGAAUUCUGCUGUACUGAAAGAAGACAGAAUAGAGAAAAUGGCACACAGACUUGAUCAACUAGAAAGGAGCAGUUAUGUUAAGCAUGGAUCAGAAUUUGAAGAAGCCACCCAAACUGGUUUUGCCAAGUCCUUGUUACAUCUGGAGCUCGCCAAAGACGCUAGGUUGGGUCGUGCUGCGCUCAUACUGGUGCGUAGGGAGGCACUGCGCAGAGUUCUGGAUGAAGAGAGACAACUUUAUUCCAAAGAACUGAGCAAAAAGGGCCUGGCCAUUUAUCAGGAAAGGAUAUAAAUCUUUUACACAGCACUGUAAUAAACCUUCACAAACAAACCUUUCUUAUCCUCCUCACCUACUAACAUUCACAUCCUUGUUUUCAAUACAUCUUCAGUACAUUGGGAUUGUACUUUUAUUAAUAUAUUACAUGAGAUUAUCCAUUGUCUAAGUCCAUCAAAACAGUUUGUAGAUGUACUGUAUGAGAAUGGAAAAAAAACCUGAAAUAAAUAUGAACGAUUACAGCUGUACAGUCACAUUUAAAA